CAGCCGCCCGCCACAAUCCCG
rnacentral:miRNA from 1 species